UGGGGACGACGUCAAGUCAUCAUCGGCCCUUACGCCUAGGGCUACACACGUACUACAAUGGCGCAUAACGAAAGGGCAGCGAUACCGCGAGGUGGAGCCAACUACCCAAAAAGUGCGUCCCAGUCCGGAUUGCAGUCUGCAACUCGACUGCAUGAAGUUGGAAUCGCUAGUAAUUCGAGAUCAGCAUGCUCGGGUGAAUGCGUUCCCGGGCCUU
rnacentral:rRNA from 1 species